rnacentral:rRNA from 1 species
GGANUGCANUGGGGGCACCCUGAUGCAGCGACGCCGCGUGAGCGAUGAAGCCCCUCGGGGUGUAAAGCUCUUUCGGCAGGGAAGAUUAUGACGGUACCUGCAAAAGCAGCUGCGGCUAACUACGUGCCAGCAGCCGCGGUAAUACGUAGGCAGCAAGCGUUGUUCGGAGUUACUGGGCGUAAAGGGUGCGUAGGCGGCUUUUUAAGUUUGGUGUGAAAUCUCCCGGCUCAACUGGGAGGGUGCGCCGAAUACUGAGAGGCUAGAGUGUGGGAGAGGAAAGUGGAAUUCCUGGUGUAGCGGUGAAAUGCGUAGAUAUCAGGAGGAACACCGGUGGUGUAGACGGCUAUCUGGACCGUAACUGACGCUGAGACACGAAAGCGUGGGUAGCAAACAGGAUUAGAUACCCUGGUAGUCCACGCCCUAAACGAUGCAUAUUUGGUGUGGGCAGUUCAGUCUGUCUGUGCCGGAGCUAACGCGUUAAAUAUGCCGCCUGGGGAGUACAGUCGCAAGGCUGAAACUCAAAGAAAUUGACGGA